rnacentral:misc_RNA from 1 species
CCGCCGACUAUCCACCCAACCAGCAGCCAUCCAACCAUCCAAGCGGUCUCAGCAAUCUCUACCUACCAGUUCAACGGCCCCGACGGACCCAACACAGUCGAGCCGUCAAGCCCAUCCAGUAAACAUGGGGGUUUCUUUUACCAUCGUGAACGAGCGUCAGAAAAUGGAGAUCCUUUCCAAAAACAAACAGACAGGCACACAUCCAAAUCCAACCUUCGUCCCCACCAUCUCAAUCCACUCCUGUCUAUUACAAUGAAGUAAGAGCAAGGGGGAGAUGGUAAGAUUACUACAAAAGAAAUCAAUUCCGUUGCGGAUACUCUCGGUCUGGCCAUGCUACAUACCCGCGCCACAUCUACCCCCGAACUUGCGAGGGCAGGGGAAAGCUUGGGAUGUGCGUGGCCGGAUGACGAGGGGAUGAGGAAGUUCGAUGUGCAGGGAGGCGCUUAAAACACAGAGGGAGUGGAAAUU